rnacentral:rRNA from 1 species
GCAAGUCGAGCGGAGACAGUGAGUAGCUUGCUAUGAGCUGUUUUAGCGGCGGACGGGUGAGUAACGCGUGAGCAACCUUUCCCAGACAGGGGAAUAACACACCGAAAGGUGUACUAAUACCGCAUAAGACCACGGGAUCACAUGGUUCUGAGGUAAAAGAUUUAUCGGUUUGGGGUGGGCUCGCGUCCGAUUAGGUAGUUGGUGAGGUAACGGCCCACCAAGCCGGCGAUCGGUAGCCGACCUGAGAGGGUGAUCGGCCACAUUGGGACUGAGACACGGCCCAAACUCCUACGGGAGGCAGCAGUGGGGAAUAUUGGGCAAUGGAGGAAACUCUGACCCAGCAACGCCGCGUGGAGGAAGAAGGUUUUCGGAUCGUAAACUCCUGUCCUUGGAGACGAGUAGAAGACGGUAUCCAAGGAGGAAGCCCCGGCUAACUACGUGCCAGCAGCCGCGGUAAUACGUAGGGGGCAAGCGUUGUCCGGAAUAAUUGGGCGUAAAGGGCGCGUAGGCGGCUCGGUAAGUCUGGAGUGAAAGUCCUGCUUUUAAGGUGGGAAUUGCUUUGGAUACUGUCGGGCUUGAGUGCA